GACGUAGGAUGCAAGCGUUGUCCGGAAUUAUUGGGCGUAAAGCGUACGUAGGCGGUUUCUUAAGUCUGGGGUUAAAGACCGAGGCUCAACCUCGGGAGUGCCCCGGAUACUGGGAGGCUGGAGGACGGCAGAGGAAAGUGGAAUUCCCAGUGUAGCGGUGAAAUGCGUAGAUAUUGGGAGGAACACCAGUGGCGAAAGCGACUUUCUGGGCCGUUCCUGACGCUGAGGUACGAAAGCGUGGGGAGCAAAC
rnacentral:rRNA from 1 species